AUUGAACGCUGGCGGCAUGCUUUACACAUGCAAGUCGAACGGUAACAGGCCUUCGGGCGCUGACGAGUGGCGAACGGGUGAGUAAUGCAUCGGAACGUGCCCAGUCGUGGGGGAUAACGCAGCGAAAGCUGUGCUAAUACCGCAUACGAUCUGCGGAUGAAAGCGGGGGACCUUCGGGCCUCGCGCGAUUGGAGCGGCCGAUGUCAGAUUAGGUAGUUGGUGGGGUAAAGGCUCACCAAGCCGACGAUCUGUAGCUGGUCUGAGAGGACGACCAGCCACACUGGAACUGAGACACGGUCCAGACUCCUACGGGAGGCAGCAGUGGGGAAUUUUGGACAAUGGACGCAAGUCUGAUCCAGCCAUUCCGCGUGCAGGACGAAGGCCUUCGGGUUGUAAACUGCUUUUGUACAGAACGAAAAGGUCUCUAUUAAUACUAGGGGCUCAUGACGGUACUGUAAGAAUAAGCACCGGCUAACUACGUGCCAGCCGCCGCCGUAAUAC
rnacentral:rRNA from 1 species